CCUACGGGGGGCAGCAGUAGGGAAUAUUGGGCAAUGGGCGAAAGCCUGACCACGCGACACCGCGUGCCGGAAGAAGCUCUAUACGAGUGUAAACCGCUGUGGUAGGGGAGGAAGCCUCGCCUUUGGCGGGGUUGACAGUACCUUACUAGAAAGUGACGGCUAACUGCGUGCCAGCAGCAGCGGUAAUACGUGGGUCACAAGCGUUAUCCGAUGUAACUGGGCGUAAAGAGUGUGUAGGCUGUUUAUUAAGUUACUUUUCAAAUUUCUUUGCUCACCAAAGAACAGGGGAGUAAUACUGAUAAGCUUCGAGUUUUCUUUAGGGAAACCGGAAUUCAUGGAGGAGUAGUGAAAUGCGUUGAUACUAUGAAGAACACCAGUGGCGAAGGCGGGUUUCUGAAAGAAUACUGACGCUGAGACACGAAAGCUAGGGGAGCGAACCGGAUUAGAUACCCGUGUAGUC
rnacentral:rRNA from 1 species